AAGCGUGAGGCAAGUUGCAGAAAAUGUGGUUUGAUGUUCCACAAGUCAAACACAUGUGUGAACACAGAGAGAUUCUGCUUUUUCUGCCAUAAGAAGGGACACGAAAAGAAGGACUGUAGGAAACUGAAAGAUCAAAAAUCUAAAAAUUAAGAAGAAAGAUCUCCCUGCUCUUUGUAUCGGAUGGCGUUUAUCGAAUCCCAGCAAGAGUCAAUCCUGGUGAUACAAGUAGUAUCAACAAAAUUAAUGUAAAUAAAGUAGAAAGUAUAAAUAAACAGUUAAGUUCGAAAGAUAA